rnacentral:rRNA from 1 species
AACGAACGCUGGCGGCAGGCUUAACACAUGCAAGUCGAGCGCCCCGCAAGGGGAGCGGCAGACGGGUGAGUAACGCGUGGGAAUCUACCCAUCUCUACGGAAUAACGCAUGGAAACGUGUGCUAAUACCGUAUACGUCCUUCGGGAGAAAGAUUUAUCGGAGAUGGAUGAGCCCGCGUUGGAUUAGCUAGUUGGUGGGGUAAAGGCCUACCAAGGCGACGAUCCAUAGCUGGUCUGAGAGGAUGAUCAGCCACACUGGGACUGAGACACGGCCCAGACUCCUACGGGAGGCAGCAGUGGGGAAUAUUGGACAAUGGGCGCAAGCCUGAUCCAGCCAUACCGCGUGAGUGAUGAAGGCCCUAGGGUUGUAAAGCUCUUUCACCGGUGAAGAUAAUGACGGUAACCGGGGAAGAAGCCCCGGCUAACUUCGUGCCAGCCGCCGCCGUAAAAC